rnacentral:rRNA from 1 species
AGAAUAACACCCUGAACACACUUAUCUCAUCUGAUCUUGGCAGCUAAGCAGGGUCUGGCCAGGUUAGUACUUGAAUGGGAGGUCAGGAGAGGAUAGCAAGUGAUUUUC